UACAGAGGUCCCAAGCGUUGUUCGGAUUUACUGGGCGUAAAGGGCGCGUAGGCGGACAGUUUAGUCAGAGGUGAAAGCCCAGGGCUCAACCUUGGAAUUGCCUUUGAUACUGGCUGUCUUGAGUUCGGGAGAGGUGAGUGGAAUGCCGAGUGUAGAGGUGAAAUUCGUAGAUAUUCGGCGGAACACCAGUGGCGAAGGCGACUCACUGGCCCGAUACUGACGCUGAGGCGCGAAAGCGUGGGGAGCAAACAGG
rnacentral:rRNA from 1 species